CGACGCUGGCGGCGUGGAUAAGACAUGCAAGUCGAGCGAAAUGAGCUUGAUGGUAACUGAAGGCGAGUUUAGCGGCGAACGGGUGAGUAACACGUAAGAAUCUGCCCAGAAGACGGGGAUAGCCCGAGGAAACUCGGAAUAAUACCCGAUGUGGAGGAAACUCUAAAUGAUGAAAAUCGCUUCUGGAUGAGCUUGCGGUCCAUCAGUUUGUUGGUGGGGUAACGGCCUACCAAGGCACCGACGGAUAGCUGGUCUGAGAGGACGGUCAGCCACACUGGAACUGAGACACGGUCCAGACACCUACGGGUGGCAGCAGUCGAGAAUCAUUCACAAUGGGCGAAAGCCUGAUGGUGCGACGCCGCGUGGGGGAUGAAGGCCUUCGGGUCGUAAACCCCUGUCAGUUGUGAGUAAGGCCCGGCCUACGUCGGGAUUGAUAUUAACAGCAAAGGAAGGGGCGGCUAACUCCGUGCCAGCAGCCGCGGUAAUACGGAGGCCCCAAGCGUUGUUCGGAUUCACUGGGCGUAAAGCGUGAGUAGGUGGCAAGGCAAGUUUGGCGUGAAAGCCCCGGGCCCAACCCGGGAAGGUCGUUGAAAACUGCCUAGCUAGAGGAUCGGAGGGGAGUCUGGAAUUCCCGGUGUAGCAGUGAAAUGCGUAGAUAUCGGGAGGAACACCAGUGGCGAAGGCGAGACUCUGGACGGUUCCUGACACUGACGACACGAAGGCCAGGGGAGCGAACGGGAUUAGAUACCCCGGUAGUCCUGGCAGUAAACGGUGUGCACUUGCUGUGGGAGGAUUCGACCCCUUCCGUGGCGGAGCUAACGCGUUAAGUGCACCGCCUGGGGAGUACGGCCGCAAGCUAACUUCUAAAAUGAAUGCG
rnacentral:rRNA from 1 species